GACGAACGCUGGCGGCGUGCUUAACACAUGCAAGUCGAACGGAAAGGCCCUGCUUUUGUGGGGUGCUCGAGUGGCGAACGGGUGAGUAACACGUGAGUAACCUGCCCUUGACUUUGGGAUAACUUCAGGAAACUGGGGCUAAUACCGGAUAGGAGCUCCUGCUGCAUGGUGGGGGUUGGAAAGUUUCGGCGGUUGGGGAUGGACUCGCGGCUUAUCAGCUUGUUGGUGGGGUAGUGGCUUACCAAGGCUUUGACGGGUAGCCGGCCUGAGAGGGUGACCGGCCACAUUGGGACUGAGAUACGGCCCAGACUCCUACGGGAGGCAGCAGUGGGGAAUAUUGCACAAUGGGCGGAAGCCUGAUGCAGCAACGCCGCGUGCGGGAUGACGGCCUUCGGGUUGUAAACCGCUUUCGCCUGUGACGAAGCGUGAGUGACGGUAAUGGGUAAAGAAGCACCGGCUAACUACGUGCCAGCAGCCGCGGUGAUACGUAGGGUGCGAGCGUUGUCCGGAUUUAUUGGGCGUAAAGGGCUCGUAGGUGGUUGAUCGCGUCGGAAGUGUAAUCUUGGGGCUUAACCCUGAGCGUGCUUUCGAUACGGGUUGACUUGAGGAAGGUAGGGGAGAAUGGAAUUCCUGGUGGAGCGGUGGAAUGCGCAGAUAUCAGGAGGAACACCAGUGGCGAAGGCGGUUCUCUGGGCCUUUCCUGACGCUGAGGAGCGAAAGCGUGGGGAGCGAACAGGCUUAGAUACCCUGGUAGUCCACGCUGUAAACGGUGGGUACUAGGUGUGGGGUCCAUUCCACGGGUUCCGUGCCGUAGCUAACGCUUUAAGUACCCCGCCUGGGGAGUACGGCCGCAAGGCUAAAACUCAAAGGAAUUGACGGGGCCCCGCACAAGCGGCGGAGCAUGCGGAUUAAUUCGAUGCAACGCGUAGAACCUUACCUGGGUUUGACAUGGAUCGGGAGUGCCCAGAGAUGGGUGUGCCUCUUUUGGGGUCGGUUCACAGGUGGUGCAUGCCUGUCGUCAGCUCGUGUCGUGAGAUGUUGGGUUAAGUCCCGCAACGAGCGCAACCCUUGUUCACUGUUGCCAGCACGUUAUGGUGGGGACUCAGUGGAGACCGCCGGGGUCAACUCGGAGGAAGGUGGGGAUGACGUCAAGUCCUCAUGCCCCUUAUGUCCAGGGCUUCACGCAUGCUACAAUGGCUGGUACAGAGAGUGGCGAGCCUGUGAGGGUGAGCGAAUCUCGGAAAGCCGGUCUCAGUUCGGAUUGGGGUCUGCAACUCGACCUCAUGAAGUCGGAGUCGCUAGUAAUCGCAGAUCAGCAACGCUGCGGUGAAUACGUUCCCGGG
rnacentral:rRNA from 1 species